rnacentral:lncRNA from 12 species
UUUGGUUCCAGGUCAAGCCUGCACUUGAAAGGUGAAGGAUCCUUAUGUGAUUUAUGUAUGGAAUAAUCUUGUCAAAAUCUCUCAGAAGACCAAGCACGU